CACCGGCGGCUCGAGUGGUAACCGUUAUUAUUGGGUCUAAAGGGUCUGUAGCCGGCCGGAUAAGUCUCUUGGGAAAUCUGGCGGCUUAACCGUCAGGCGUCUAAGGGAUACUGGCAAUCUUGGAACCGGGAGAGGUGAGAGGUACUUCAGGGGUAGGGGUGAAAUCUUGUAAUCCUUGAAGGACCACCAGUGGCGAAGGCGUCUCACCAGAACGGACCUGACGGCAAGGGACGAAAGCUAGGGGCACGAACCGGAUUAGAUACCCGGGUAGUCCUAGCCGUAAACGAUACUCGCUAGGUGUCGGCCACGGUGCGACCGUUGUCGGUGCCGUAGGGAAGCCGUGAAGCGAGCCACCUGGGAAGUACGGCCGCAAGGCUGAAACUUAAAGGAAUUGGCGGGGGAGCACCACAACGGGUGGAGCUUGCGGUUUAAUUGGAUUCAACGCCGGA
rnacentral:rRNA from 1 species